GAAUGCUGACAUAAGUAACGAUAAAGCGGGUGAAAAGCCCGCUCGCCGGAAGACCAAGGGUUCCUGUCCAACGUUAAUCGGGGCAGGGUGAGUCGACCCCUAAGGCGAGGCCGAAAGGCGUAGUCGAUGGGAAACGGGUUAAUAUUCCCGUACUUGGUGUUACUGCGAAGGGGGGACGGAGAAGGCUAUGUUGGCCGGGCGACGGUUGUCCCGGUUUAAGCGUGUAGGUGUGUGUUCCAGGUAAAUCCGGUUCACUUUAACACUGAGGCGUGAUGACGAGGCACUACGGUGCUGAAGCAACAAAUGCCCUGCUUCCAGGAAAAGCCUCUAAGCAUCAGGUAACAUCAAAUCGUACCCCAAACCGACACAGGUGGUCAGGUAGAGAAUACCAAGGCGCUUGAGAGAACUCGGGUGAAGGAACUAGGCAAAAUGGUGCCGUAACUUCGGGAGAAGGCACGCUGACACGUAGGUGAAGUGAUUUACUCACGGAGCUGAAGUCAGUCGAAGAUACCAGCUGGCUGCAACUGUUUAUUAAAAACACAGCACUGUGCAAACACGAAAGUGGACGUAUACGGUGUGACGCCUGCCCGGUGCCGGAAGGUUAAUUGAUGGGGUCAGCGCAAGCGAAGCUCCUGAUCGAAGCCCCGGUAAACGGCGGCCGUAACUAUAACGGUCCUAAGGUAGCGAAAUUCCUUGUCGGGUAAGUUCCGACCUGCACGAAUGGCGUAAUGAUGGCCAGGCUGUCUCCACCCGAGACUCAGUGAAAUUGAACUCGCUGUGAAGAUGCAGUGUACCCGCGGCAAGACGGAAAGACCCCGUGAACCUUUACUAUAGCUUGACACUGAACAUUGAGCCUUGAUGUGUAGGAUAGGUGGGAGGCUUUGAAGCGUGGACGCCAGUCUGCGUGGAGCCGACCUUGAAAUACCACCCUUUAAUGUUUGAUGUUCUAACGUGGACCCGUUACCCGGGUUGCGGACAGUGUCUGGUGGGUAGUUUGACUGGGGCGGUCUCCUCCUAAAGAGUAACGGAGGAGCACGAAGGUUGGCUAAUCCUGGUCGGACAUCAGGAGGUUAGUGCAAUGGCAUAAGCCAGCUUGACUGCGAGCGUGACGGCGCGAGCAGGUGCGAAAGCAGGUCAUAGUGAUCCGGUGGUUCUGAAUGGAAGGGCCAUCGCUCAACGGAUAAAAGGUACUCCGGGGAUAACAGGCUGAUACCGCCCAAGAGUUCAUAUCGACGGCGGUGUUUGGCACCUCGAUGUCGGCUCAUCACAUCCUGGGGCUGAAGUAGGUCCCAAGGGUAUGGCUGUUCGCCAUUUAAAGUGGUACGCGAGCUGGGUUUAGAACGUCGUGAGACAGUUCGGUCCCUAUCUGCCGUGGGCGCUGGAGAACUGAGGGGGGCUGCUCCUAGUACGAGAGGACCGGAGUGGACGCAUCACUGGUGUUCGGGUUGUCAUGCCAAUGGCACUGCCCGGUAGCUAAAUGCGGAAGAGAUAAGUGCUGAAAGCAUCUAAGCACGAAACUUGCCCCGA
rnacentral:rRNA from 1 species